AUGAACACGACUAUCACUCUAUGAGUACAACCAGCCCCCACUAAACCCUCGCAAAGCCCUAAAACAGCGUUUCUCAUAUCUAAGAUUUGAUUCCAAUCGACACAAACAUGGCUUGGCGUUCGGGUUCUCUCUCUCGCUCCUUAAUCUCUACAGCUAGGUCUUCACUCCGACCGGCGGCGCCCUCACCCCUCACCCGCCUCCGACCGCCGCCCCUCGCCGCCCCUCGCAUCCAGUCCCGCCGUUUUUCCAUGCCGGCUUCCAGGAAUUUGGGGCAAUUAGGUUGCACACAAUCACUUUUACCUCUGCAUAGUACGAUGGCGAUAACCUGUCUGACGUCACACCUUGCUGUCAGCGCACGUGCUUGUUGCGAGCUGUCUCAUGGUACCUUCCGUCGUUCUUGUCAAGAUCGCUAGUAGUCUCUUUGUGAGUCUUGCCGGUUCUAGGGCGCAUGAAAAUAAUGUUCAAAUCGUUUAUUAUGCUGUUUUAAUAUACUCAUUUUCAUGCUCCUCCCCAAAAAUUAUUUUAAUAAAAAAUGAUUGCAAAUGUUGUGGAUUCUAGAAAACCUUAAAUUGUAGGCCUGAUAGAUGUUGAAAUUAGCUGGUCCUGUGUUGCUCAAUGUGAAGAGAUGAGAUGGGUAGAGUUUUUGGUUGAUAAGAAGGUAUAUUAAGAUUGGAAUUUAUAGGGAGGAAUGGAAAAGAUGGGUGAUGCACAAGGACUUCGAUCAUCCAAUGGCAAGAGAAGAAUGCUGCAUAGUGAUCCUGAUUCCUGAGGUGAGGUUCUAAAUCCCCAUUCAUUAUUAUGGGUAAACUUAAAUGAUCUCCUAGACCCAACUCUAAAUCCUUUGCUCUGAAAGAUGUGAGAUUUUUAUGCUGAAGAAGUUGCUCCCUUGAAAUUCUUCCUACGAAGACAAUUUGAAAUAUUCAGGCAGCUAGGCAUGGUAGUCAAAAACUACAAUCUGUCCUUUCAUGUGAAGGACAGUUACAACCUUUGCCUAUGCUUCUUUAUGUUAAGUCUUCCGCACAAUUUUUUAUCAUAAAAGGGAAUAUAUCAACAUUGCUUACUACUUUUUCUUAAUAGUUACAUUCUUACACAGUUUAAGUAUUUGGUGGGUAUGGUUGUUAAGUUAUGACAACUUGGUGCUAUUUAGAUAUUUCUGUUCUUUUGACGGUUUCAAAUUUCAAUGUAACUGAUGCAAUGCAUCGCUUGAGGAUAAAACAUCUAUGAAAAUUCCUUGAUGCUGGGUCUAGCAAUAUUGUCUAAAGUCUUAAAUGCCAUGUAAUCUCUCAUACUUCUGCUGUUUUUGUGAUUCCUUUG